rnacentral:rRNA from 1 species
AAAGAAAAUAACAAUGAUUCCCCUAGUAACGGCGAGCGAAGAGGGAAUAGCUCAAAUUUUAAAUCUGUUGGGUCUUACCUAACCGAGUUGUAAUUUGAAGAAACGUUUUCUGCGUGUUUGAUUUAGCCCAAAUCCUUUGGGAUAAGGUAUCAUGGAGGGUGAGAAUCCCGUCCGGCCUAAUCAAAUGUGCUUUACGAUACGUUUUCUAAGAGUCGAGUUGUUUGGGAUUGCAGCUCAAAAUGGGAGGUAAAUUUCUCCUAAGGCUAAAUAUAGGCGAGAGACCGAUAGCGAACAAGUACCGUGAGGGAAAGAUGAAAAGAACUUUGAAAAGAGAGUUAAACAGUACGUGAAAUUGUUGAAAGGGAAACGAUUAAAGUCAGUCGUACUAACGGGGAAUCAACCUUUUGAGGGUGGAAUUGUGGGAUUCAGAGUGCCUUUGUCUUUCACAACCUGCUUUUUUUGGGUGCACUUUCUCGUAUUGUAGGUCAGCAUCGGUUUCGACCGUUAUAAAAUGACUGGAGGAAUGUAGCUUCGAUCUCGUAUUGAAGUGUUAUAGCCUUUGGUAGAUGUAACGGAUGGGAUCGAGGAUUGCAAUGAAUACCCUCAUGGGCUAUCCGCCUGGCCUCUGACAUGUCACUCUGGUGCCGAAAGCUUGCUUAUGGUAUUAUAGUGUACGGUCAAAAGGUUAGAACGGAUUAAAUU